AUACAUGCAAGUCGAGCGGACAGAUGGGAGCUUGCUCCCUGAUGUUAGCGGCGGACGGGUGAGUAACACGUGGGUAACCUGCCUGUAAGACUGGGAUAACUCCGGGAAACCGGGGCUAAUACCGGAUGGUUGUUUGAACCGCAUGGUUCAGACAUAAAAGGUGGCUUCGGCUACCACUUACAGAUGGACCCGCGGCGCAUUAGCUAGUUGGUGAGGUAACGGCUCACCAAGGCGACGAUGCGUAGCCGACCUGAGAGGGUGAUCGGCCACACUGGGACUGAGACACGGCCCAGACUCCUACGGGAGGCAGCAGUAGGGAAUCUUCCGCAAUGGACGAAAGUCUGACGGAGCAACGCCGCGUGAGUGAUGAAGGUUUUCGGAUCGUAAAGCUCUGUUGUUAGGGAAGAACAAGUGCCGUUCAAAUAGGGCGGCACCUUGACGGUACCUAACCAGAAAGCCACGGCUAACUACGUGCCAGCAGCCGCGGUAAUACGUAGGUGGCAAGCGUUGUCCGGAAUUAUUGGGCGUAAAGGGCUCGCAGGCGGUUUCUUAAGUCUGAUGUGAAAGCCCCCGGCUCAACCGGGGAGGGUCAUUGGAAACUGGGGAACUUGAGUGCAGAAGAGGAGAGUGGAAUUCCACGUGUAUCGGUGAAAUGCGUAGAGAUGUGGAGGAACACCAGUGGCGAAGGCGACUCUCUGGUCUGUAACUGACGCUGAGGAGCGAAAGCGUGGGGAGCGAACAGGAUUAGAUACCCUGGUAGUCCACGCCGUAAACAAUGAAUGCUAAGUGUUAGGGGGUUUCCGCCCCUUAGUGCUGCACCUAACGCAUUAAGCACUCCGCCUGGGGAGUACGGUCGCAAGACUGAAACUCAAAGGAAUUGACAGGGGCCCUCCAAACUCGUGGGACCAUGUGUUUUAAUUGAAACCAUCGCGAACAAUCAUACCAUGUCAUGACAUCCUCUGACCAUCCCAGUACUAGGACGUCCCGUUCGGGGUCAGAGUGACAUGUGGUGCAUGGUUGUCGUCAUCUCCUGACAUGAGAUGUUGGGUUACGUCCCCCAACUAUCCCAACCCUUGUUCUUUUUUGCCGUUUCCUUUGGGCACUUAAGGGAAUUGCCGGGGAAAACCCCGGGAAAGGGGGGGAAUAAAGUCAAAACCCCUGGCCCCUUUUAAACCGGGGCUCCCCCCUGCCCAAAAGGGGAAGAAAAAAAGGGGAGUUAAAACCCCAGGGGAAAACCAAUUCCCACAUUUGUGUUUUCUUUU
rnacentral:rRNA from 1 species